UGCGGACACUCGCCAUGGAGUGUGGGCUGAGCUGGCUGCUCCUCCUGGCUCUUCUAGGGGGUGUCCAGUGUGAGGAGAAGCUGGUGGAGUCUGGGGGAGAAUUGGUGCAGCCUUGGGCGUCUCUGAGACUCUCCUGCGCAGCCUCAGGAUUCACCUACAGUAGUUACGAUAUGAGCUGGGUCCGCCAGACCCCAGGAAAGGGGCUACAGUGGGUUGCAGGCAUCAGGAGCAAAGGUGGUAAUACAUACUACGCGGACUCUGUGAAGGGCCGAUUCACCAUCUCCAGAGACAACGGCAAGAACUCGCUGUAUCUGCAGAUGAACAGCCUGAA